CAGUCAGGCUCCUGGCUAAAGUCCAGUUCUUAGCUGGAUUUAGCCAAACACCAGA
rnacentral:miRNA from 1 species